rnacentral:rRNA from 1 species
UACGUAGGGCGCAAGCGUUAUCCGGAAUUAUUGGGCGUAAAGAGCUCGUAGGCGGCCUGUCGCGUCGGCUGUGAAAACCCGGGGCUCAACCCCGGGCCUGCAGUCGAUACGGGCAGGCUAGAGUCCGGCAGGGGAGACUGGAAUUCCUGGUGUAGCGGUGAAAUGCGCAGAUAUCAGGAGGAAUACCGAUGGCGAAGGCAGCUCGCUGGGACGGUACUGACGCUAAGGCGCGAAAGCGUGGGGAGCGAACAGG